rnacentral:rRNA from 1 species
CCUACGGGGGGUUGCAGUGGGGAAUAUUGGACAAUGGGCGAAAGCCUGAUCCAGCCAUGCCGCGUGUGUGAAGAAGGCCUUCGGGUUGUAAAGCACUUUCAGUGGGGAAGAAAGCCUUGGGGCUAAUACCCUCGAGGAAGGACAUCACCCACAGAAGAAGCACCGGCUAACUCCGUGCCAGCAGCCGCGGUAAUACGGAGGGUGCGAGCGUUAAUCGGAAUUACUGGGCGUAAAGCGCGCGUAGGCGGUCUGAUAAGCCGGUUGUGAAAGCCCCGGGCUCAACCUGGGAACGGCAUCCGGAACUGUCAGGCUAGAGUGCAGGAGAGGAAGGUAGAAUUCCCGGUGUAGCGGUGAAAUGCGUAGAGAUCGGGAGGAAUACCAGUGGCGAAGGCGGCCUUCUGGACUGACACUGACGCUGAGGUGCGAAAGCGUGGGUAGCAAACAGGAUUAGAUACCCUAGUAGUC